rnacentral:rRNA from 1 species
GUAACGGCGAGUGAAGCGGCAACAGCUCAAAUUUGAAAUCUGGCCCUCGGGUCCGAGUUGUAAUUUGUAGAGGAUGCUUUUGGCGCGGUGCCUUCCGAGUUCCCUGGAACGGGACGCCUUAGAGGGUGAGAGCCCCGUACGGUUGGACACCAAGCCUCUGUAAAGCUCCUUCGACGAGUCGAGUAGUUUGGGAAUGCUGCUCUAAAUGGGAGGUAAAUUUCUUCUAAAGCUAAAUAUUGGCCAGAGACCGAUAGCGCACAAGUAGAGUGAUCGAAAGAUGAAAAGCACUUUGAAAAGAGGGUUAAAUAGCACGUGAAAUUGUUGAAAGGGAAGCGUUUGCGACCAGACCUUUUCCUAGCGGAUCAACCGGUGUUCUCACCGGUGCACUUCGCUAGGUUUAGGCCAGCAUCGGUUUCUGUAGGGGGAUAAAAGCUCUGGGAACGUAGCUCCUCCGGGAGUGUUAUAGCCCUCUGCAUAAUACCCUUACGGGGACCGAGGACCGCGCUUCGGCAAGGAUGCUGGCGUAAUGGUCGUCAACGACCCGUCUUGAAACACGGACCAAGGAGUCGAACAUUUGUGCGAGUGUUUGGGUGUUAAACCCUCACGCGUAAUGAAAGUGAACGGAGGUGAGAGCCCUUACGGGUGCAUCAUCGACCGAUCCUGAUGUCUUCGGAUGGAUUUGAGUAAGAGCAUAACUGUUCGGACCCGAAAGAUGGUGAACUAUGCGUGGAUAGGGUGAAGCCAGAGGAAACUCUGGUGGAGGCUCGCAGCGGUUCUGACGUGCAAAUCGAUCGUCAAAUCUGCGC